UAGUGAUUACCCGCUGAACUUAAGCAUAUCAAUAAAGCGGAGGAAAAGAAAWCCAACCGGGAWUGCCUCAGUAACUGSGAGUGAAGUGGCAAAAGCUCAAAUUUGAAAUCCCGGUACCUUUUGGUGCMUGAGUUGUAAUUUGGAGAGACAAAUUUGGUUGAUGGCGCCGGCCUAGGUUCCUUUGAACAGGACAACAUAGAGGGUGCGAAWACMGUUCCUGGCUGGAUGACCCGUCACAUUUCUAAAUUGUCUUCGACGAGUCGAGAUGUUUGGGAAUGCAGCUCAAAAUGGGUGGUAAAUGUCAUCUAAAGCUAAAUAUUGGCGAGAGACCGAUAGCGCACAAGUAGAGUGAUCGAAAGAUGAAAAGCACUUUGAAAAGAGAGUCAAAAAGUACGUGAAAUUGCUGAAAGGGAAGCGCUUGAGACCAGACUCGARCCGUGGUAAUCAGCCGUGCUUCUGUGCGGUGUCACUUGCCACGGUUUGGGCCAGCAUCGGUUCUNNCNNUCUGAUAAAAGGUGGAGGAAUGUAGCUUCCUUCGGKKUWKWUUUUUUUAGCCUCCACCACAAUGCGGCCAGCUGGGAC
rnacentral:rRNA from 1 species